rnacentral:rRNA from 1 species
CCUACGGGAGGCAGCAGUGGGGAAUUUUGGACAAUGGGCGCAAGCCUGAUCCAGCAAUGCCGCGUGAGUGAAGAAGGCCUUCGGGUUGUAAAGCUCUUUUGUCAGGGAAGAAAAGGGUCUGGCUAAUAUCUAGGCCUCAUGACGGUACCUGAAGAAUAAGCACCGGCUAACUACGUGCCAGCAGCCGCGGUAAUACGUAGGGUGCAAGCGUUAAUCGGAAUUACUGGGCGUAAAGCGUGCGCAGGCGGUUUUGUAAGACUGUCGUGAAAUCCCCGGGCUCAACCUGGGAAUGGCGAUGGUGACUGCAAGGCUAGAGUUUGGCAGAGGGGGGUAGAAUUCCACGUGUAGCAGUGAAAUGCGUAGAUAUGUGGAGGAACACCGAUGGCGAAGGCAGCCCCCUGGGUCAAAACUGACGCUCAUGCACGAAAGCGUGGGGAGCAAACAGGAUUAGAUACCCUGGUAGUCCACGCCCUAAACGAUGUCUACUAGUUGUCGGGUCUUAAUUGACUUGGUAACGCAGCUAACGCGUGAAGUAGACCGCCUGGGGAGUCGGUCGCAAGNUUAAAACUCAAAGGAAUUGACGG